AUUGAACGCUGGCGGAAUGCUUUACACAUGCAAGUCGAACGGCAGCACGGACUUCGGUCUGGUGGCGAGUGGCGAACGGGUGAGUAAUGUAUCGGAACGUGCCAGUCGUGGGGGAUAACGUAGUGAAAAUUACGCUAAUACCGCAUACGAUCUAUGGAUGAAAGCGGGGGAUCGCAAGACCUCGCGCGAUUGGAGCGGCCGAUAUCAGAUUAGGUAGUUGGUGGGGUAAAGGACCACCAAGCCAACGAUCUGUAGCUGGUCUGAGAGGACGACCAGCCACACAGGAACUGAGACACGGUCCAAACUCCUACGGGAGGCAGCAGUGGGGAAUUCUGGACAAUGGGCGAAAGCCUGAUCCAGCCAUUCCGAGUGCAGGAUGAAGGCCCUCGGGUUGUAAACUGCUUUUGUACAGAACGAAAAGGUUUCUACUAAUACUAGGAGCUCAUGACGGUACUGUAAGAAUAAGCACCGGCUAACUACGUGCCAGCCGCCGCGGUAA
rnacentral:rRNA from 1 species